GCUCAGAUUGAACGCUGGCGGCAUGCUUUACACAUGCAAGUCGAACGGCAGCACGAAAGAGCUUGCUCUUUUGGUGGCGAGUGGCGAACGGGUGAGUAAUACAUUGGAACGUACCGAGUAAUGGGGGAUAACUGUCCGAAAGGAUGGCUAAUACCGCAUACGCUCUGAGGAGGAAAGCGGGGGACCUUCGGGCCUCGCGUUAUUCGAGCGGCCAAUGUCUGAUUAGCUAGUUGGUGGGGUAAAGGCCUACCAAGGCGACGAUCAGUAGUGGGUCUGAGAGGAUGAUCCGCCACACUGGGACUGAGACACGGCCCAGACUCCUACGGGAGGCAGCAGUGGGGAAUUUUGGACAAUGGGCGAAAGCCUGAUCCAGCCAUGCCGCGUGUCUGAAGAAGGCCUUCGGGUUGUAAAGGACUUUUGUCAGGG
rnacentral:rRNA from 1 species